GACGAACGCUGGCGGCGUGCUUAAUACAUGCAAGUCGAACGGAAAGGCCCUGCUCUUGUGGGGUGCUCGAUUGGCGAACGGGUGAGUAACACGUGAGUAACCUGCCCUUGACUUUGGGAUAACUUUAGGAAACUGGGGCUAAUAUCGGAUAGAAUCUCCUGCUGCGUGGGGGGGGUUGGAAAGUUUCGGUUGUGUGGGAUGGUCUCGCGGCUUACGAGCUUGUUGGGGGGGUAGGGGCUUACCAAGGCUUUGACGGAUAGCCGGCCUGGGAGGGUGGCCGGCCUCCAUGCGCCUGCGAUACGCCCCAGACUCCAACGGGCGGCAGAAGUGGGGAGUCUUACACAAUGGGCGGAAGCCUGAUGCAGCGGCCCCGCGUGCGUAAUGCCGUCCUUCGAGUUGUAAACAGCUUUCGACUGUGACGAGGAGUGCGUGACGGUACUGGGUCAGAAAGCACCGGCUAACUACGUG
rnacentral:rRNA from 1 species